GUCGGUAUCGAUUAGGGGUUAAAUCACUUCGUUGUGGUUAGUAAUUCCGAAGAGCCGCAGGUUCGAUUCCUGCUACCGACA
rnacentral:tRNA from 1 species